ensembl:misc_RNA Metazoa_SRP Metazoan signal recognition particle RNA
GCCAGGCAUGGUGGUUUGUGCCUGUAGUCCCAGCUACUCCGGAGGCUGAGGCUGGAAGAUCACUUGAGUCCAGGGGUUUUGGGCUGCCGUGAGCUAUGCCAAUCUGGUGUCUGCGCUAAGUCUGGCAUCAAUAUGGUGACAGGCCAGGAGCAGGGGACCACCAGGUUGCUUAAGGAGGGGUGAACAGGCCCAAGUCGGAAAUAGAGCAGGUCAAAAACUUUGUGAAAAAUUGAAUUAAAAGGUAACUGUGGGGCUGGCGCUAUGGCGCAGCGGGUUAACGCCCUAGCCUGAAGGCCAGCAUCCC